AAGGUGACGAAAAGCUGUAACGAAGCCCAGACGACGCAAUGCCGGUACCUUUACAACCAAUUCUACUCAAUCCAAAGCAAAAAGUAAUUAUAAGGUGAUAAGCUUCGGAAGUGAAAACAUUUUAUCCAAUGAAACAACAAAAUACAUGACCGUGAGAAUGAACAUUUUUAAAGCUCAAUGAUGAAUUGGUUUAAAAUGUACAUAGAAAAGAAUAUGAUCGAAAGGUUGAAGAAGCACAGUGAAGACGAUCGCUCAGAAUAGAAGUGUAUAGUGCUAUAGUUGCAACACAACUAGUUCUAAAUCUCAAAAAUGAAACAGAAACACAUGAAAUAAUUAUUGAAACUAUACACUAAAUAUGAUCUUCGUUAUGUUUAAGGGUAUGUCAUCCUACUCUUUCCAUAACUACGUUUAAGAAGACUUUGGACGAGGGGUAUGUCAUCCCAAUCUUUCCAUUACUACGAGGGGUAUCUCAUUCCAAUCUUUUCAUAACUACGUCCCUCAUUAAGAAGACUUUGGGCAAGGUGUAUCUCAUUCCAAUCUUUCCAUAACUACGCCCCUUAUUAUUUAUACUUAAAAAACAUCUAUAUAUUCAUUCAAAAAUAAAAUGGUGUAAUGAGAAACACAA